CAGGCAAAAAACAGAUGGGGGCCCAACAGAAAUCUGCCCGGCCUCUUUUGUCACCCCUGAGAGCAUGAGCAGGACUAUCAGCUGAGGCCCCUGUGUUAUACCAGACUCAUUGGUCUCAGGGAGAAGAAGGCCUUGGUCUGAGGGGCACUGCCAUUCAGGUCAGCAGAGCGGGGGUCCAAGGCCCUGCCAGGAGUCAGGGACUCAGAGGACACCACUCACCAAACACAACAGGACCAAACCCCACCCUGCACCUUCUGUCAGCCAUGGAAGUGCAGGAAAAGGUUCGCAGAGAACAGGCCAGCCAGGAGGUCAGGAGGCCCCAGAGAAGCACUGAAGAAGACCUGUAAGUAGACCUUUGUUAGGGGCAUCCAGGGUGUAGUACCCAGCUGAGGCCUCUCACACGCUUCCUCUCUCCCCAGGCCUGUGGGUCUCAAUUGCCCAGCUCCGGCCCACACUCUCCUGCUGCCCUGACCUGAGUCAUCAUGCUUCUUGGGCAGAAGAGUCAGCGCUACAAGGCUGAGGAAGGCCUUUCAGGCCCAAGGAGAGGCACCAGGGCUUAUGGAUGUGCAGAUUCCCACAGCUGAGGAGCAGAAGGCUGCAUCCUCCUCCUCUACUCUGAUCAUGGGAACCCUUGAGGAGGUGACUGAUUCUGGGUCACCAAGUCCUCCCAGAGUCCUGAGGGUGCCUCCUCUUCCCUGACUGUCACCGACAGCACUCUAUGGAGCCAAUCCGAUGAGGGUUCCAGCAUCAAUGAAGAGGAGGGG
rnacentral:sRNA from 1 species